UACGUAGGGUGCGAGCGUUGUCCGGAAUUAUUGGGCGUAAAGAGCUUGUAGGCGGUUUGUCGACGUCUGCCGUGAAAUUUCGAGGCUCAACCUCGAACUUGCGGUGGGUACGGGCAGACUAGAGUGUGGUAGGGGAGACUGGAAUUCCUGGUGUAGCGGUGAAAUGCGCAGAUAUCAGGAGGAACACCGAUGGCGAAGGCAGGUCGUCUGGGCCACUACUGACGCUGAGAAGCGAAAGCAUGGGGAGCGAACAGG
rnacentral:rRNA from 1 species